GGGUGUUGGUCGAUUAAGACA
rnacentral:siRNA from 1 species